rfam:Gossypium raimondii Chr06_contig_223, whole genome shotgun sequence.
AACGAGCAAACUGAUCAUUUAUAUUGCUAAAAAUUAGUGUGGCUGAUAAAAUAAUCAAACAGUAACACGUGGUAUGCCACGUAUACCUUAUGCUUAUGUAUAUGGAUCAUUUUUUAACAGUGAAAAUUGAUAGAUUUUGUA